ACGGGUGUAGCUCAAUUGGUAGAGCAACGGUCUCCAAAACCGUAGGUUGCGGGUUCAAGUCCUGCCACCCGUGCGA
rnacentral:tRNA from 1 species